ACACAGUUAUCAAGACUAUAAACUAGGUAAUCAAGCCACAUAAGUUUUACGGGGAUGAAACUCCUCUCUCAUCUUAUGAAACUUCUUCAUUUAAUGACCCUACCAAGUCAGCAAUUUUGCUUAUGUGACAUCCUAUUUAAUUUUUUUGCAUGAUAUUCUCAUAAAACAUGCAUUGAGACUGACCUAAGAGUCGUCAUCGUCAAUCUACAUGUGAAAAGAUAAGCGAGUGUGCUUGGACUUUCUCGAGGGGGGAGGAAUAGAAAAAUCACGCUGGUGGGCUAGCUUGGCGCAAAGUAUGGCCUAUUGUCUAUUUGGGCCUGAGUUAGUCCAACAACUAUUAAGUCGGCCAUUGAGUCCAACUAGCCAACCUUAGCCAGUAAUCCAAUCCAAUCCAAUCCAAUCUGUGCAACAGUAGGCUGCGCGGUCAACAAACCAGGAACACUAUUUAAGUCAUGAUCUUAGUAUGAUAUCAAAAUAUCAGCUAACAAAUCUCUAUUAUCUAUACCUAUCUAUAAAGAGCCAAAAUUUCAGUCUGCCUUUUUUUUCUGCCAAUCUCCAGUCCGUUUUGGUAUGGAUGGCAAAGUCCACCACGGCCUCGGUGCAGAGUUGAAACAUACUAAACACCAGAUCUCCUUCCCAAAACCAAAUCUGACAUGCACACGAUAAGACCUGUAUCCAGCAAUGCACAAAACCAGAUCCAGAUAUCAGAUCAGAUAAGUCCAAAACAAAAUCACAUACAUAAAAAUCAUGUAUACCAAAUAAAGGCCACCAACCAUGCCCAAUCCCUCCCAAAUCUAUAUUCCAAAGAUUUUCUAAAUCUGCAAGUAAAGUGCAAGGGACUAAACCGAGACUGAAUCAAAACCGCCACACGGAUCCAAAUCCAAACUCAUAUUAGACUAACUCUAGAAAGCCAACUUAUAAAAUCAUCAAUUGAACAAACUUGAUAUUUCCUCUGUCGACCUCCACAGCAAUAAACAAAAAAGGAUUCCUUUCUCCAUCCAUACACAAAUUGAUUGAAGACAAAAUCAGAGAAAGAAUUGACGAAAUAAGAGGAAGAAUCAAAGAGGCAUCAGAGAGGGUCGCGUCUCCAGGCAGCCUGGGGCACCCGCGCCGCCGCGUCUGCGCUCGCUAGCCACGGUGCCCAUGACAUCGUCUCCCUCGCGCGCGUGGCCAGGGGCGCCCACACCGUCAAUCUGAUGCACCUGCACCGCCAAUCAGGUUUGCCGGAGCCGCGUAGCCGCCUACUCCCCCAGGGGUCACGUCAUCUCCUCCAAGGGGCGGCUCGUGCACCUGCCGUCUGAGACAACGAGAAUCUGACGAACGGAGCAGAAGGCGACGGGUUAGGGUUGGGGAGGACCAAAGGAGGUCGCCAAGGUCAUAAAUGGCUGCGGCUAGGGUUUCGAGAAUGGAGUAGGGUCGGGGCUCACCGGUUGAAGGGCUCGAUGGAGUUCAUGGUGGCGAAGACGACACCGGCGCGCUGGCGUGCGGGGGAUUGGGAUUCUGAUUGCCCGCUUACGGCAUAGGGGACUGGGAAGAGGAGGGCCGUAUCGCGCCAGCCGCAGCCCACAUCGGUCGAAUCGGAGGGGAAAGAGCGAGGGAGAGAUAGAUGGCCCUGUUUGGAGGCCGUCUACCAGAUCGACAAGGAUGGCGAGUUGCGGAGAGAGGAGUGACUGCGUUCCCAGCUACCAACGUCGCGAUGGCGAUGGCCAAGCGAUGGAGCACAAUGGUAGCAAGAGAGAAAACGGAUGUGAUACUACACGCUCAAGAGCGAUGGUCUGAGUGGGAUUUGGACUGCUAGAGCUUGCGGCGUGCUGGGAGGGGAGGGGCGGCGAUUGCGCAAAGCGCAAGCUUCCUGCCGCCGGCUGGUCGACGAAACACAGGUUAGAUGCGUGUCUUUCUUAUCCACUUCUCCCCUUGUGCUGGGUGCGUGAAUUUGGGCCGUGGGACAAUGUGUUUGGGCUGUGUGUGCAUGCAAGUAUUGGGUUCUUGGAUGGAUGCCUAAUAAGUGCAUAAAUUCAAUGAACAUCCUUAGGUUAGUUGUGUUUUAAAAACUUAGUUAUUUUUUUCGUUAAAAUUUCCUUCCAAUCCAAACAAUAUAGUUUAACAUUUUAAUCAAAUUCUAAAAAAAUCAUUAAGAAAAAAAAUGAAAAAUUGGAUAUUUAUUAACAAGAAACAUUAGUAGCGAUAAAAGAAAAAGAUGUAAUUUCCUGCAUAGAUUUUAAAAUUUAAAAACAAAUAUAAAAGAAAAAUUAAAAAUUAAAAAAUAAUUCAUACUACAAAGAGCAAAAUAAAUUAAAAGCUGUUAUGUCAAUUAUUUAUUCUUCAAUAAAUAAAAAUUAAAGGCUAAAGCUGAAACAUAUUAAAAAAAUACUAUUAAGCCCUAGCAAAAAAAAAUACACAAUAUAAACUAAAAAUAUAAUAUUAACCCGUAGCAACGCACGAACAUAUUUACUAGUAAACAUUAUGUAUGACUUCAACUGAUAUCAGCUGCACAAGCGAUGCCACUUAUACUAUUCAAAUACAAACCGACUACAAGGUUCAAGUUUAAUCCUUCUAAUAGCUUGUCUUUAUAUAAUAUUGUACACAGUUUUCCCUAUAUAUAUUUUUUCCAUAAAAAGUAUCAUCAAAGUUUUCAUCAAGCAAUAUUCAUAUAAAAUAUGUAUAUAUCAUAUCUCACAUUUCCCUACCAUGGUUUCCGCAAUGGCGAAUUUAGCCAAAGACAUCAUUGGGG
rnacentral:lncRNA from 1 species